CGGGAAACUCGAAGUGCCAUGAUCGCUGGCAUCAAAGUCAUGAGGUAUGAACUUUUGGAAGGAAGCAAUCUUGCUGACCAGUUUCUUCUCGCAAGGUUUGUUCCCAUUCCCGUUCACUCCAUUGUUGACAUUAAAUACCGAAUGGGUUAUCUUCACGAGAGCAGUGGGAGGAACAUUAGCAAAGUGAUCAUAGUCCAGAAGAUAAGCUGCAACUUCCCUGAAUCCGGUUUCCCCAACUCGUACAGAACGUUUUAAGCCGGGUUGCCCCAGUGAUUUCCCAACAAAGCCUUUCGGAUUGUUAGGUGCAAAUGGUUCUUCAUCUGUAGGCUUGACAAUUGCAACACUCUGACCUUUUCCAUUCCUAAAGUAGUAUGCCCCUCCAAGCCCACUAUGAACAGAGACCGGUUCAACACCCAUCUUCAUCGCCUUAACAAUUUCCUUCACCAUUUGCUUGACAGAAGAAAAGCAAUCCGAGUGGCCGAGUAUCUCAAUAGGACCACUGCGGUCUUUUUGUUGGAGAUCCCUUCCGGUGGGUGAAAGACAAGGUGUAGACGAGCUUCUAUGCAUCAAGUUUCGCUUCAGGAGAAGGGGAGAAUCAUUCCUCACUGCGCUAAGGUCGUUCUUGAGAACCAUAUCCCCAAAGGUCAACGAGCUUUCCUCGGUUGGGAAAUUAAGUGCAAUCUGGAGCCUUCUCUUCACAGUAUGAACAUUGUCGCUCCGAUCUAACUCCAUCCCCAGGACACAACCAGUUUCAGUUUGCACGAAAACCCGUCUACGCCCAGCAGGCUGCUGCUGCUGCUGCUGCUGCUGUUUAUGCUGCUUCUCUUCCAUCUUAUUAGCCCCAUGGAACUCCCCACUAAGGGGAGUCCUAAAGACCGCCACUGCCAUCUGUGUCUGAACAGGACUGUCUAAGUUCCGCGACAUGAAAAGGAGUGAGAAACCACGGGACUUUUGUGGUCAGCAGCAGAAGCAGCAGGAGAAGAGAGACUGUUCCCUCUCAGACCAGCGCCUUUGUCUGAAACCAACACGAACAGGGCAAAUGCAAAGAAGAAACAGACACCGGAACAAAUCAUGAAACGUGGAAAACCCAACCCAA